rnacentral:misc_RNA from 1 species
GAUUGAAGAACGCAGCGAAAUGCGAUACUUGGUGUGAAUUGCAGAAUCCCGUGAACCAUCGAGUCUUUGAACGCAAGUUGCGCCCGAAGCCAUUAGGCCGAGGGCACGCCUGCCUGGGCGUCACACGUCGUUGCCCCCCCAUCUACUCCUUCGGGAUUGCGGGGGGCGGAUGAUGGCCUCCCGUGCGCCUCGCCGCGCGGUUGGCAUAAAUGCCAAGUCCUCGGCGACGCACGCCACGACAAUCGGUGGUUGCGAAACCUCGGUUGCCCGUCGUGUGCGGUCGUCGCGCAUCGAGGGCUCGAAAAAAUUGCCGGGUUCCGGCUCGGCUUUCAACGCGACCCCAGGUCAGGCGGGGUUACCCGCUGAAUUUAAGCAUAUCAAUAAGCGGAGGA